CAGAGAAGCCCGCUCGAAGCGACAUGGGGCCCUGAGAGCACCACUCAGCACGAACCAAGACCCAGUGGAUCGCAACACCCAGUGCCAUAAACAUUGGGAGCUGCUAUGACUAGCUUUGCCACUGCAACAGUUGCACAUCCGUGCCUUAAAGUUCCAAAUAGUUAAUAGCCUAUAGACAACCGUUUGUGUCAAUGGACAUACAAUCUCCUCUUCCUCCUUUCCCGAUACAUAUGCUUUAC